UUUCCUUUGUAACUCACGGAAUUGUGCCCUGCGAUCCUCUGGCUAAUGGCUUGCGACGAGUUUUUCUCGUGUUUUGUCACUUGGUUUCAGGGUCGAACGCAGACGGCAGUUUGAUCUUUCUAUAGAGCCACGCGUUUUUAGUAGUGUUAUCUGAUCAACAGUUCCUAGAUCAAGUCAGCUGGUUCGGCCAUACUGAAGUUUUUCGUUUGUACUCUGCACGUGCUCGCUUUUCACAGGGGCUGAGCUGUGUAGGGGAGAGGACUUGAGGAGACCAACCAUACUGCAGCCUCUAUAUUCCACCCCUUUUUUCUGAGGUCAUUGACCUGUGAAGUUGAGGAUACCCAUAGUUGGCUACAUUC
rnacentral:sRNA from 1 species